AGUAGUCAUAUGCUUGUCUCAAAGAUUAAGCCAUGCAUGUCUCAGUGCAAGCCGUCCUGUACGGUGAAACCGCGAAAGGCUCAUUAAAUCAGUUAUGGUUCCUUAGAUCGUAUAACCCACGUUACUUGGAUAACUGUGGUAAUUCUAGAGCUAAUACAUGCCGACAAGAGUUCCGACCAGCGUAUUUGUUGUACGGCGACGCGCGACGUCUACUGUCGUCGUCGUCGGCGCUUAAACGUUCGGAAGGAACGCUUUUAUUAGAUCAAAACCGGCCAAGCGAUCGAAUGUUUAUUAAAGUUGGGCGCACCGCAUCGCGCGCGUGCGUCUCCAACAAGUUCGGUCGUAAGUGCCCCGCGCAAAGACUUGACGACUCUGAAUAACUUUGAGCUGAUCGCACGGUCUUCGUACCGGCGACGUAUCUUUCAAAUGUCUGCCUUAUCAACUGUCGACGGUAGGUUCGACGCCUACCGUGGUGGUAACGGGUAACGGGGAAUCAGGGUUCGAUUCCGGAGAGGGAGCCUGAGAAACGGCUACCACAUCCAAGGAAGGCAGCAGGCGCGCAAAUUACCCACUCCCAGCUCGGGGAGGUAGUGACGAAAAAUAACGAUACGGGACUCUUCCGAGGCCCCGUAAUCGGAAUGAGUACACUUUAAAACCUUGGUCACACGAGGAUCAAUUGGAGGGCAAGUCUG
rnacentral:rRNA from 1 species